rnacentral:rRNA from 1 species
CGGGGUGCAGCAGGCGCGAAAACUUUGCAAUACACGAAAGUGUGACAGGGCUAUCCCGAGUGCCAUCCGCUGAGGAAGGCUUUUACCCAGUCUAGAAAGCUGGGGGAAUAAGGAGAGGGCAAGUCUGGUGUCAGCCGCCGCGGUAAUACCAGCUCUCCGAGUGGUGUGGAUGUUUAUUGGGCCUAAAGCAUCCGUAGCUGGCUAAGUUAGUCCCUUGUUAAACCCACCGAAUUAAUCGUUGGAUCGCGGGGGAUACUGCUUGGCUAGGGGACGAGAGAGGCAGACGGUAUUUUCGGGGUAGGGGUGGAAUCCUAUAAUCCCGGGAAGACCACCAGUGGCGAAGGCUGUCUGCUAGAACGCGCCCGACGGUGAGGGAUGAAAGCUGGGGGAGCGAACCGGAUUAGAUACCCGGGUAGUCCCAGCUGUAAACGAUGCAGGCUAGGUGUUUGGACGGCCACGUGCCGUUCUAGUGCCGCAGGGAAGCUGUUAAGCCUGCCGCCUGGGGAGUACGAUCGCAAGAUUGAAACUUAAAGGAAUUGGCGGGGGAGCACAA